GACGAACGUUGGCGGCGUGCUUAACACAUGCAAGUCGAACGAUGAAGCCUAGCUUGCUAGGUGGAUUAGUGGCGAACGGGUGAGUAAUACGUGAGUAACCUACCUUUAACUCUGGGAUAAGCCUGGGAAACUGGGUCUAAUACCGGAUACGACCAAUCUCCGCAUGGGGUGUUGGUGGAAAGCGUUAUGUAGUGGUUAUAGAUGGGCUCACGGCCUAUCAGCUUGUUGGUGAGGUAACGGCUCACCAAGGCGACGACGGGUAGCCGGCCUGAGAGGGUGACCGGCCACACUGGGACUGAGACACGGCCCAGACUCCUACGGGAGGCAGCAGUGGGGAAUAUUGCACAAUGGGCGCAAGCCUGAUGCAGCGACGCCGCGUGAGGGAUGACGGCCUUCGGGUUGUAAACCUCUGUUAGCAGGGAAGAAGAGAGAUUGACGGUACCUGCAGAGAAAGCGCCGGCUAACUACGUGCCAGCAGCCGCGGUAAUACGUAGGGCGCGAGCGUUGUCCGGAAUUAUUGGGCGUAAAGAGCUUGUAGGCGGUUUGUCGCGUCUGCUGUGAAGGCCGGACCUUUCUCCGUGUAUUGCAGUGGGUACGGGCAGACUAGAGUGCAGUAGGGGAGACUGGAAUUCCUGGUGUAGCGGUGGAAUGCGCAGAUAUCAGGAGGAACACCGAUGGCGAAGGCAGGUCUCUGGGCUGUAACUGACGCUGAGAAGCGAAAGCAUGGGGAGCGAACAGGAUUAGAUACCCUGGUAGUCCAUGCCGUAAACGUUGGGCACUAGGUGUGGGGGACAUUCCACGUUUUCCGCGCCGUAGCUAACGCAUUAAGUGCCCCGCCUGGGGAGUACGGCCGCAAGGCUAAAACUCAAAGAAAUUGACGGGGGCCCGCACAAGCGGCGGAGCAUGCGGAUUAAUUCGAUGCAACGCGAAGAACCUUACCAAGGCUUGACAUAUACUGGACCGCAUCAGAGAUGGUGUUUCCCUUCAGGGCUGGUAUACAGGUGGUGCAUGGUUGUCGUCAGCUCGUGUCGUGAGAUGUUGGGUUAAGUCCCGCAACGAGCGCAACCCUCGUUCUAUGUUGCCAGCACGUUAUGGUGGGGACUCAUAGGAGACUGCCGGGGUCAACUCGGAGGAAGGUGGGGAUGACGUCAAAUCAUCAUGCCCCUUAUGUCUUGGGCUUCACGCAUGCUACAAUGACCGGUACAGAGGGUUGCGAUACUGUGAGGUGGAGCUAAUCCCUAAAGGCCGGUCUCAGUUCGGAUUGGGGUCUGCAACUCGACUCCAUGAAGUCGGAGUCGCUAGUAAUCGCAGAUCAGCAACGCUGCGGUGAAUACGUUCCCGGGCCU
rnacentral:rRNA from 1 species